UACAGGGGGUGCAAACGUUGCUCGGAAUUAUUGGGCGUAAAGCGCGCGCAGGCGGCCACUUAAGUCGGAUGUGAAAGCCCCUGGCUCAACUGGGGAAGUGCACCCGAAACUGAAUGGCUUGAAUGCAAAAGAGGGUCGCGGAAUUCCCGGUGUAGAGGUGAAAUUCGUAGAUAUCGGGAGGAACACCGGUGGCGAAGGCGGCGACCUGGGUUGACAUUGACGCUGAGGCGCGAAAGCGUGGGGAGCAAACAGG
rnacentral:rRNA from 1 species